CCCUGGGCUCAGCCCCUCUUCUUCUCCCUUUGACUCCCUGGUGCUGAACGCUGCCCCUAAACCUGGAUGUAGCCGCGUUCCCCCUGAUCCCCCGAAGGGAUUUUUCAUAGGCCCUGCUUCUUUGCAUCACUGGCAGUUGAAUCUGAUGGAGAGAUCUCACUGGCCACAUGCUCACCCUAACCUAAGGGAGGCUAAGGUUGAGGUUUUAGAUUCUGUGAUGGGGGUGGGGGGUGGCCUUUUUCCACCACCAAGAUUCCUAAGGUGAGAAAUUCCGCAAACACAGGAAGGUGAGUUGUAUACUGACAGCCAAAAAGAAUCACAGAUACCCAUCACAACUAGCCUGUAGUUUUACUCCGACCCUCCCAUGGCUGUCUGACCCUGCACAGUUAAUUUUUCUUCCUAUAUCUACAGGACUAUUGCAAGCAGUUUAUUAAAGCAGACUUAAUUAAUAUGGAAUAUAUGUGGAUUUCCCAGAGCUGGAACAUGGCUAGUUUCCUAAACAAUUGUGUAAUGUUAAAAGACUGAAUGGAAGGAUUAUAAUCUUAAGGCCUUCAAAAGAGUCCAGGAACAUUCAGUGUGACAGCUGUAUCAGCAGAUGACAAUACUACUUACUCGGGGAAAAUGACACUGUGCUGGGCUCAUUGAAGAGUGAGUGAGCUGCAAAUGUGUGCUCUGCCUACAAGCUGCCUACAACCUGAGCGAGUGCCUGGCUUAGCGACCCCCUGUCAGCUGAAGUAGAGCUGGGGUUUUGGAAGACUUCUGGGAAUGUUUGCCCAGCAUCUAGAACAGGACAAACACACAGUUGGCACUUGAGCACAAUGCUGGGAUGAAGACAAAGGUUUCCCCUGAGAUUUCAGCCUACCACUAUGAAAUGUACCUGCUCUGUGGACUUGUCCACAGCUGGAUUCCAUAGAAGUCUCCCAAAGUACUCUGUGAAGUUGAUUAGAUUCUCACUCAACGUCGAACUGCUGGAAUCUGUUCAGUAGCACUGCUGAGCUAAGACAAUUAUUCUGAGAAAGGGGGCUUCAGAAGUGAGCAGUGAAGUGAAACACGAACCCUGAAGGAGUUCCAUCAACUCGACUCACGACUCACAGGUGGAGAGCCAGGGGGAAAUGAACAGAAGUAGGAAAGGCAGCCUUUUUAUAGCCUGCGUGUGAGUGAAAGGAACCAAAGCCAGGAAGAUGGACCUUGAGGGGACUCAAUCCCUAGGAACCAGGAAUGAGGGAUACGCUCUCUGAAGGAUUUCUUUGAUCCAAGUUAAGUCCAGCAGACAUCAUCUUGGAGAAGCAGGGACCUUGGAGGAGUUCAUGGAAGGCCACCAGCUAUUGCUAUGGCUAGGACUUCCAAUGCUAUGUUAAAUAGAAGUGGUGAGAAU